rnacentral:lncRNA from 1 species
AAGAAGCUAGCAACCUGAGAACCAAACGCAUAGCCCUUUGUUUGAUUGUCUACCUUUGCUAGUCAAGGUUAGGCAAUUCUUUUUUUUAGAUAGGUUAGGCAUUCUUGCUCAGCUAGCUUAUGUGAGCAAAGAAACCAAACAGACCCGACGAGCUGAGAUGACCUCAGCUCAGCCCACUUCGACAUCAUGGCCUAUUUUUAGCCCCUUAGACAACUUCAUCUCCACCUCGCUGUCAUCCGUUCAAUCAAACCAUCCUGCAUCUAACAAUAUGCCAAUAUUGGACUUCUUCACACAAA